CCCGGAGCCCCAUCCUGGGCACCAGAGGCUGCCGAGUGGGCGCAGCCGGGGGCGGCUGGUGAGGGGAGAUUUUUAGGGCACCCACCUUGGGUCCCUAGUCUUUGUGGAUACAGUUCCAAGCAUUAAUCACUCCUAAUGGCUAUUUGUCACAGCAAGAUGAUCAGAUUGUUUGAGGUUUUCUGGUGUGUUUUUAGGGUGAGGAUUCAGGGCAGAGACAAAGAGACAAAGAAUGGGAAUCUGGAAAGCCGUUUUAACCACUUUGGCCUCCCGCCGGGGAGGUGCAAAACGAGGCCCUUUGGGGAAAAAACAAAACAAAACAAACCCAGCUUUCUUGAGGGUUUCAUAAAAACAGAAGCACACGCCGCGCUUCGCUCACUUGCCCGGACCUCAGCUUCAUCCACGGAGCCGCGUGUCUCAGACGCCAUCCGGGUCCACGGCUGAGCGACGUUCCGCCUUGCAGAUGGACGCGCUGUGACAGGCUCAUUUGCUGAUGGUCACCAGGUUGCCUCUGCUGCUGGCUCGAAUCCAGCUCCGAGACUGUAAAAUGGAGAAAAAAGAAAACAUCCCAGUGAACUGCACUGCCCAGGCCGCUGAGCUGGACUUUGUGGUCCUGCCACCUGUUUCCUGGUCCCGCGGUGCCGUGGGCGUCCACUGGGGUGGGGUGGGCCAGCAUGGAAGAUGCUGUGGGAACACCAAAGGCUCUGCCUGU